AGGGCUUUGUACCGAACAAAGAUGGCGGCCGCCGGCGUCGGGAGGAGGGCUGCCCUGAAGAAAGAUGGCCUCCGCGAGAGGAGGAACCGGAAGCGUGGGUCUGGCGGCGGCACCGGUUCGCGGUCGGCGCGAGAACAAGCAGGGUGGCGCGGGUCCGGGCAUGAAGCUGGGCCGGGCCGUGCUGGGCCUGCUGCUGCUGGCGCCGUCCGUGGUGCAGGCGGUGGAGCCCAUCAGCCUGGGACUGGCCCUGGCCGGCGUCCUCACCGGCUACAUCUACCCGCGUCUCUACUGCCUCUUCGCCGAGUGCUGCGGGCAGAAGCGGAGCCUUAGCCGGGAGGCACUGCAGAAGGAUCUGGACGACAAGCUCUUUGGACAGCAUCUUGCAAAGAAAAUCAUCUUAAAUGCUGUGUUUGGUUUCAUAAACAACCCAAAGCCCAAGAAACCUCUCACGCUCUCCCUGCACGGGUGGACAGGCACCGGCAAAAAUUUCGUCAGCAAGAUCAUCGCAGAGAAUAUUUACGAGGGUGGUCUGAACAGUGACUAUGUCCACCUGUUUGUGGCCACAUUGCACUUUCCACAUGCUUCAAACAUCACCUUGUACAAGGAUCAGUUACAGUUGUGGAUUCGAGGCAACGUGAGUGCCUGUGCGAGGUCCAUCUUCAUAUUUGAUGAAAUGGAUAAGAUGCAUGCAGGCCUCAUAGAUGCCAUCAAGCCUUUCCUCGACUAUUAUGACCUGGUGGAUGGGGUCUCCUACCAGAAAGCCAUGUUCAUAUUUCUCAGCAAUGCUGGAGCAGAAAGGAUCACAGAUGUGGCUUUGGAUUUCUGGAGGAGUGGAAAGCAGAGGGAAGACAUCAAGCUCAAAGACAUUGAACACGCCUUGUCUGUGUCGGUUUUCAAUAACAAGAACAGUGAGUAGGGCCAUCCACCGCCAGUCCCAUCUGGUUCCUAAUCCUGCACCCUAAGUGUUAAAAGCAUCAGGGUCACUGUCAGCAUCUCCUGGGAGCUGGGUAGAAAGAAAUGCAGAUUCUCAGUCCCCUUCCGAGUCAUGAGGGGAAUCUUUGCUGACAAACUCCAGGUGGCUUCUGGCACAGCAGCUUAAUUGACCGGAACCUCAUUGAUUAUUUUGUUCCCUUCCUCCCCCUGGAAUACAAACACCUAAAAAUGUGUAUCCGAGUGGAAAUGCAGUCCCGAGGCUAUGAAAUUGAUGAAGACAUUGUAAGCAGAGUGGCUGAGGAGAUGACAUUUUUCCCCAAAGAGGAGAGAGUUUUCUCAGAUAAAGGUUGCAAAACGGUGUUCACCAAGUUAGAUUAUUACUACGAUGAUUGACAGUCAUGAUUGGCAGCCGGAGUCACUGCCUGGAGUUGGAAAAGAAACAACACUCAGUCCUUCCACACUUCCACCCCCAGCUCCUUUCCCUGGAAGAGGAAUCCAGUGAAUGUUCCUGUCUGAUGUGACAGGAAUUCCCCCUGGCAUUGUUUCCACCCCCUGGUGCCUGCAGGCCACCCAGGGACCACGGGCGAGGACGUGAAGCCUCCCAAACACGCACAGAAGGAAGGAGCCAGCUCCCAGCCCACUCAUAGCAGGGCUCAUGAUUUUUUACAAAUUAUGUUUUAAUUCCAAGUGUUUCUGUUUCAAGGAAGGAUGAAUAAGUUUUAUUGAAAAUGUGGUAACUUUAUUUAAAAUGAUUUUUAACAUUAUGAGAGACUGCUCAGAUUCUAAGUUGUUGGCUUUGUGUGUGUGUGUUUUUUAAGUUCUCAUCAUUAUUACAUAGACUGUGAUGUAUCUUUACUGGAAAUGAGCCCAAGCACACAUGCAUGGCAUUUGUGCCACAGGAGGGCAUCCCUGGGGAUGUGACUGGAGCAUGAGCCAGCUCUGUCCCAGGAUAGUCCCAGCGGAUGCUGCCAGGGGCAGUGAAGUGUUUAGAUGAAGGACAUGUAGGUAAGAGGACGCCUUCAGGCACCACAGAUAAGCCUGAAACAGCCUCUCCAAGGGUUUUCACCUUAGCAACAAUGGGAGCUGUGGGAGUGAUUUUGGCCACACUGUCAACAUUUGUUAGAACCAGUCUUUUGAAAGAAAAGUAUUUCCAACUUGUCACUUGCCAGUCACUCCAUUUUGCAAAAGGUGGCCCUUCACUGUCCAUUCCGAAUAAGCCACACGUGCUCUCUGCUGGAUUCUAAAUUAUGUGAAUUUUGCCAUAUUAAAUCUUCCUCAUUUAUACUAUUAUUUGUUAGGUUCAAUCAGAAUCCCCGAAACCUCCUAUAAAGCUUAGCUGCCCCUUCUGAGGAUGCUGAGAACGGUGUCUUUCUUUAUAAAUGCAAACGGCUACCGUUUUACAAUAAAAUUUUGCUUGUGUCA